UCUUUCUCUAUCUCUCCCUAAUUUCUGUUCUUCUCUGGAAUUGAGAACACUGCUUUGUAACACAUUGCUAAACUUGUAAUGAAUAUACUUCAUUUUAGUUUUACUUUUCACUUAACUUUAUACCCUUUAGACUCCAAGGUUUUCCUCCACAACUCUUUAACUUCUUGUACCCCCACCUAGGUUUUGUCUAUUUCCAAUAUGUCAGUGUCAUCUACAAAAAUCAUUCACUAAGGCAUGUCCCCUUUGAUAUACUUUAUGCUUUAUCAACUCAACCAUGACCUAAGGAAAAUGGGAAAAGGAUAAGGGCUCAAUGUUGAUUCAAGAUCCAAUCCAGUUGUGAUUUAUAUCAACGUUAAUCGUCUAAACGCUAGUUACUGCUUCUUCAUACAUCUCUUUUAACACCUUUACAAAUCAAAUAUUCCUUUUUGUUCCAAAAGCCAUCAUUGAAAAUCUCUCUGGACUCUAUCAUAUCUCUUACAAUGAACUUUCAAGUUUGAUUUCUAAUAAAAAUUUAUCAUUAAGAUUUAAGCCAAGAACAUUCCCCAUGAAGCAUUCACCCUUUAGGAAAACUCAGGAAAUUAAUGGCAAAUGUUGUACUAUUAGUUUA
rnacentral:misc_RNA from 1 species